rnacentral:rRNA from 1 species
AACGAACGCUGGCGGCAUGCCUAACACAUGCAAGUCGAACGAGACCUUCGGGUCUAGUGGCGCACGGGUGCGUAACGCGUGGGAACCUGCCCUUAGGUUCGGAAUAACUCCCCGAAAGGGGUGCUAAUACCGGAUAAUGUCUUCGGACCAAAGAUUUAUCGCCUUUGGAUGGGCCCGCGUUGGAUUAGCUAGUUGGUAGGGUAAAAGCCUACCAAGGCGACGAUCCAUAGCUGGUCUGAGAGGAUGAUCAGCCACACUGGGACUGAGACACGGCCCAGACUCCUACGGGAGGCAGCAGUGGGGAAUAUUGGACAAUGGGCGAAAGCCUGAUCCGGCAAUGCCGAGUGAGUGAUGAAGGCCUUAGGGUUGUAAAGCUCUUUUAACCGGGAUGAUAAUGACAGUACCGGGAGAAUAAGCUCCGGCUAACUCCGUA